GGGCCCGCACAAGCGGUGGAGCAUGUGGUUUAAUUCGAUGCAACGCGAAGAACCUUACCAGGGCUUGACAUACUGCGAAUCUCCUUGAAAGAGGAGAGUGCCUUCGGGAAUGCAGAUACAGGUGGUGCAUGGCUGUCGUCAGCUCGUGUCGUGAGAUGUUGGGUUAAGUCCCGCAACGAGCGCAACCCUUGUUUUUAGUUACCAAUUCGUUGGGCUUUCUAGAAAGACUGCCGGUGACAAACCGGAGGAAGGUGAGGAUGACGUCAAGUCAGCAUGCCCCUUAUGUCCUGGGCUACACACGUGCUACAAUGGCUAGGACAAAGAGUCGCAAGUUUGCGAAAACAAGCUAAUCUCAUAAACCUAGCCUAAGUUCAGAUUGUAGGCUGCAACUCGCCUACAUGAAGUUGGAAUCGCUAGUAA
rnacentral:rRNA from 1 species